rnacentral:lncRNA from 1 species
UCACUGAUCAUUAUCCUCCAACCCUUCCGAUGCUUCAGACAGGCCGUCCGUUUAAUUUUGUAAAACUAAACAGCACGCUUGGUUUUUUCAGGAUGCACUCUGAGCGUGAUAUGUUCUGCGGAAUGUUUUUCAGAGCAGUGAAAAAUUUAAUUUCUUCCCCCAGCAUCAAGAUGUGUCAAACAUAAUUUAUGCCUGGACAUAAUUCAUCCCUAAAGAUAAAUAUUGAAACCCAAGAG